rnacentral:lncRNA from 1 species
UUGUAUGCUUCAGUUCUCACGUUCUUGAUGCAGAAACGCAAAAUCACAAGACUGGCAGGACACAACAAAUUUAGGUAGAAACAUGACAGAUCCCAAGGCCGGGAAUUGAAUGGAUAGUAUAUUAACCACACCUGCCAAGGGCUCCACAGCAUAGAACACAUUCAUAAGCCAUCUAACAACCACACAGAAAACUCAAAGGAAAUGCAAAAACUAGAUACCGAGUAUUGAACACACCCAAUGUUUCAAUGGAACAAUUUUCCUUCCGAUUUGCAAGAAUUUAUAAUCAAUAUGAAAUGAAACAAUUUAGGCAUCCUCAUUAUACGGAUGAGUCCUUGGGACACUGCACAAAACUUAAACAUACACAAAUUAAGC